ncrna:unclassified sequences pemK RNA
ACAAUGAUACUUCUGAACGUUCAGGCUGCCGUCGUAAAAGAGCAGUAAGUGAGAUUCUUAUGA